ACGUCAGUUAUUAAAUAAUAAUACUUGAAAUAAAAUAAUAUUAAAUUUUGAAAAAUAUCAUGGAUUCUUAUGGCUGUGGGUGUAAAAAUGGUGUUAUCGUAGAAGGGAUAUUUGGAGAAAUAUAUCCUGAUUUAUCAAAUUAUAAAACAUACGAAGGAGAAGCUCCAAAUUAUGAACAAGAAUCUUUAGAAACAAUAAUUAAAAAACAUAGUGAACAAAGUUUCAAUGAAUUAAAGCCUAUAAUUGUUAAGUCUUAUACUAUGAUAAAUAAUAAUCGAAUGGAAGUUACUGUUAUUACAUGGGGUGCAUCUAUCAUAUCCCUUAAAUGUCCUGACAAAUUUGGUCAUAGUACAGACGUUGUUCUUGGCUUUGAUGAUUUAAAAAGUUACAUGAAUCCUGUGUUUAAUCCAUUUAUUGGAUGUGUAUUAGGCAGAUGUGCAAAUCGUAUUAAAAAUGGUUGUUUCAGUAUCAAAGAUAAAGAUUAUCAAUUAACUAAGAAUGAUCUUAAUAUUCAUCAUUUACAUGGAGGGACAAAUGGAUUUGGUAGACAAAUUUGGAACUCUCAUAUCGAUGGUUGUUCUGUUGUUAUGAGUUAUUUAAGUGAAGAUGGAGAAGAAGGAUAUCCAGGUGCAGUUUUAGCUACAGUAAGAUUUAAAUUAACACCGGAUAAUAAAUUGGAAAUACAUAUGCGUGCGACAACAUCUAAAUCAACGAUAAUCAAUAUGUCACAUGGUUCAUUGUUUAAUCUUGCUGGUCAUGAUGCUGGUGAAAAAGAAUUAAAAAAACAUCAAAUAUUAUUGAACUGUGAUCGUUGGACAUUUGCAGAUUAUUUAGAUCCCAUACCAACGGGAGCUAUCAGAGGAGUAGGUGGAACAAUUAUGGAUUUACGUUUACCAAGACUUUUAGGAGAAUAUAUGGAAAAAGUUCCUCCAGGAGAAGGUUUUGAUCAUAACUUUUGUGUAACAAAAAAUUGGCAAUCUGGUAGUUCAUUUGUUGCUCGAGCAUUACAUAUGAAAUCUGGACGCGUUUUAGAAGUCUACUCAGAUCAGCCUGGUCUUCAAUUUUAUACCGGUGGACGUUUAUUACAACAAUAUUCUCCUUCAACAUUUGAAACGUACAAUGAUCAUUACCUGCAACAAGAAAAGGAAAAAAAGGAGCACAUUAUAAAAAGAAUUGUGCUUUUAGUAUUCAACCUCAAAAUUAUCCAAAUGCUGUUAAUUAUGCACAUUUUCCAUGUGCUAUUCUGUAUCCAGGUCAAGUAUAUUGUCAUGAUCUCACGUAUAAGUUUGGAAUACAACUGGCUAAUUAUAUCAAAAAAUUUAGCUACGAUACUUAUUGUAUUUCCAAAUGAUUGACUGACUGUUAAUGAACGUUGAAUCCAUCGAGGUAGUGCCUUCAUUUUAUUACGGAUAUGGCAUUCCAACAACAAUAAUACAUCUUCCCAAAUCAUCAGAAAAAUUUAAUCCUUCACUUAAUUUGCCACCUAAAAAAAAAAAACAAAA